GAAUGUGGAACAAGAACUAGAUUUUAUAUAAAAGAGUUUAUUCCUUCUACUUGAGUUGUGACGUGAAGAAAAGUAAUGGAAAUCCUUCUGCCCUCCCAUUCUCAAGGGCUGGGGGAAUUCUAAUAUUGGAAUCAUUCAUUUAGGAAGCUUUUGUCUCAGAACUCCUGUGAUGCUCCCUGUACCUUGAAGUGAUUUUGGAAUUGCAUGGAAUUCUCACUGCCUUCCCAAAGAAAUGCUAAUUUGGCAUUCUUACCUGUUCCAUUCCCUGGGCAGAAGAAAAGGAUGCACUCCAAAGGUCGGAAAUGAUGUUGAUGGAAGACAACAACAUUUGCCACUUGGAAUUCUCACCUGCACACCAAAGAAGUACUGAUUUUGUCAUUUGCACCAGCUUCUUUCUCCAGGAAAGGUCAAAACAAUGCACUCCAAGGGUAACAUUCCAAUUUUUAAUACAUG